rnacentral:lncRNA from 1 species
AUGGUGAUAUCAGAAUCUGAAUCAUGUUUGGAAUCAAAUUACAUUGGUUUGAAUGUUGAAAGAGAUUUGCUAUAUGUGAUUGCUGAAGAAAAAGGUUGCAAAAGGAUGAAAGGAAUGGAAGCAGACACUAAUUCAAUUCAUGAUGAGAAGUAUACUUUUGGGUUAGUUCCUACAAUGGUGUUGAUCAAGCGAGGUUGUCACUGUUUGCAGCAUAUCAAAUUGUUGAAAAUCAAUGUUGGCAAGCAAUUCGUAACAGUGCUAUUGUCAUGCAUCACCCAGGAGUACUUUACAUGGAGUAAGCAGUUAUUCAAGCUAAAGCUACUUGCUCUAUUCUUCUUCAAUGAUGGGGGCAUCGAAAGAUCAUUUGGACUUGGCGGAGCUGAAGCUCCCGGCAGCGGCAGGGACUUGGGUGGCCGGUGGGCACCCUCGUCGAUCUCUCUCCCCUACCUCUCCUCCGAUCUCCAGCCUUCCCCCCUCGGUUCUAGAAGUUUCCAGCACUUGUAUUUCAUAGCUUCUUCUUCUCUUGUCCCCAAAACAGUUGUUGCUUCUAUGGUGGAUGCUUGUUGUUGAGUUGGAAGUA